rnacentral:lncRNA from 10 species
CUUUGUCUCUUGCUCCAGCCAGAGCUCGAGGUUAGCUCUUCACUGCCCUGUGUCUUCUUUCCAAGGGUCUCGGUGAUUCGGCCACAGCCUCAGCCUCCAUCACGCGGUGAACUGAUGGUGCUGGAAGAUUCAUAGACUCCAGGACAUUCCUGAAGCCGAGAAAAGGUUAAGUAGGGUCUGGCCUGGAAUACUCUCCUAGAUGAAGAUAGCCCAACCAUGAGCCACCUUCGAAGCAGAUGAGAUGAAAUUAAAGCUCUUCAACUCCUAAAGGCCCAGAGACUAUCACAAAAGAGGUCAGAAAUCCUGAAGGUCACUUUCUGACAAACUCAGGAACCCCAGGUUUAUCUUGGAGCCUCAAGAGGAGAUAAAUUCACCCAACUCAGUAAAAUACGGAUGCCAAGCCGAGGCUGGACUGUGCUGCCGCCAUCUCGGCUCACUGCAACAUCCCUGCCUGAUUCUCCUGCCUCAGCCUGCCGAGUGCCUGGGAUUGCAGGCGCAUGCCGCCACGCCUGACUGGUUUUUGUAUUUUUUGGUGGAGACGGGGUUUCGCCAUGUUGGCCAGGCUG